rnacentral:rRNA from 1 species
CCCUUAGAUGUUCUGGGCCGCACGCGCGCUACACUGAUGCAUUCAACGAGUCUAAAACCUGCUCUGAUAGGGGUGGGUAAUCUUUUGAAUGUGCAUCGUGAUUGGGAUAGAUGAUUGCAAUUUUUCAUCUUCAACGAGGAAUGCCUAGUAAACGCAAGUCAUCAGCUUGCAUUGAUUACGUCCCUGCCCUUUGUACACACCGCCCGUCGCUCCUACCGAUUGAACGUUUUAGUGAGGCAUUUGGACCGACGCAUCUCAGUUUAACCGCUGGUUUGUGUUGGAAAGACUUCCAAACUUGAGCGUUUAGAGGAAGUAAAAGUCGUAACA